rnacentral:rRNA from 1 species
CGCGACCCCAGGUCAGGCGGGGCUACCCGCUGAGUUUAAGCAUAUCAAUAAGCGGAGGAAAAGAAACUAACGAG